CCUACGGGAGGCAGCAGUGGGGAAUAUUGCGCAAUGGGCGAAAGCCUGACGCAGCGACGCCGCGUGAGGGAUGAAGGUCUUCGGAUCGUAAACCUCUGUCAGCAGGGAAGAACGGUCACUGUGCUAAUCAGCCGUGAAUUGACGGUACCUGCAAAGGCAGCACCGGCUAACUCCGUGCCAGCAGCCGCGGUAAUACGGAGGGUGCGAGCGUUAAUCGGAAUUACUGGGCGUAAAGCGCUCGUAGGCGGUAUGUCAAGUCAAGGGUGAAAUCCCCGCGCUUAACGUGGGAACUGCCUUUGAAACUGGUAAACUGGAGUGUGUGAGAGGAUAGUGGAAUUCCAGGUGUAGGAGUGAAAUCCGUAGAUAUCUGGAGGAACAUCAGUGGCGAAGGCGACUAUCUGGCACAUAACUGACGCUGAGGAGCGAAAGCGUGGGUAGCAAACAGGAUUAGAUACCCCUGUAGUC
rnacentral:rRNA from 1 species